rnacentral:rRNA from 1 species
CUACGGGACGCUCCAGUGGGGAAUAUUGCACAAUGGGGGGAACCCUGAUGCAGCAACGCCGCGUGGAGGAUGACGCAUUUCGGUGUGUAAACUCCUUUUAUAUGUCAAGAAAAUGACGGUAGCAUAUGAAUAAGCACCGGCUAACUCCGUGCCAGCAGCCGCGGUAAUACGGAGGGUGCAAGCGUUACUCGGAAUCACUGGGCGUAAAGGACGCGUAGGCGGGUUGGAAAGUCAGGUGUGAAAUCCUACAGCUUAACUGUAGAACUGCACUUGAAACUUCUAAUCUAGAGUAUGGGAGGGGGAGAUGGGAUUAGUGGUGUAGGGGUAAAAUCCGUAGAUAUCACUAGGAAUACCUAAAGCGAAGGCGAUCUCCUGGAACAUUACUGACGCUAAGGCGUGAAAGCGUGGGGAGCAAACAGGAUUAGAUACCCGCGUAGUC